rnacentral:rRNA from 1 species
GACGAACGCUGGCGGCGUGCCUAAUACAUGCAAGUCGAGCGGAUCUUCAUUAGCUUGCUUUUGAAGAUCAGCGGCGGACGGGUGAGUAACACGUGGGCAACCUGCCUGUAAGGCUGGGAUAACUUCGGGAAACCGGAGCUAAUACCGGAUAAUCCUUUUCCUCUCAUGAGGAAAAGCUGAAGGACGGUUUCGGCUGUCACUUACAGAUGGGCCCGCGGCGCAUUAGCUAGUUGGUGAGGUAACGGCUCACCAAGGCGACGAUGCGUAGCCGACCUGAGAGGGUGAUCGGCCACACUGGGACUGAGACACGGCCCAGACUCCUACGGGAGGCAGCAGUAGGGGAUCUUCCGCAAUGGACGAAAGUCUGACGGAGCAACGCCGCGUGAGCGAUGAAGGCCUUCGGGUCGUAAAGCUCUGUUGUCAGGGAAGAACAAGUACCGGAGUAACUGCCAGUACCUUGACGGUACCUGACCAGAAAGCCACGGCUAACUACGUGCCAGCCGCCGCCGUAAAAC